GACAGAGGGUGCAAGCGUUGUUCGGAAUUAUUGGGCGUAAAGCGCGCGUAGGCGGCUUUGCAAGUCGGGUGUGAAAGCCCUCAGCUUAACUGAGGAAGUGCGCCCGAAACUGCAGAGCUUGAGUACCGGAGAGGAUGGUGGAAUUCCCAGUGUAGAGGUGAAAUUCGUAGAUAUUGGGAAGAACACCGAUGGCGAAGGCAGCCAUCUGGACCGACACUGACGCUGAGGCGCGAAAGCGUGGGGAGCAAACAGG
rnacentral:rRNA from 1 species